GAAUCCCGUGAACCAUCGAGUCUUUGAACGCAAGUUGCGCCCGAAGCCUUCGGGCCGAGGGCACGCCUGCCUGGGCGUCACGCAUCGCGUCGCCCCCCCUCCCGCCCGCUCUGGGCGGGCCGCGGGGGGGCGGAGACUGGCCUCCCGUGCGCCUUUGUCGCGCGGCCGGCCC
rnacentral:rRNA from 1 species